UCCCGGCUAGCUCAGUUGGUAGAGCAUGAGACUCUUAAUCUCAGGGUGGUGGGUUCGGGCCCCACAUUGGGCU
rfam:Erinaceus europaeus unplaced genomic scaffold scaffold00054, whole genome shotgun sequence